UUUAUAUGUUAUAAAUAGACAAAAUCAUUUUUAUUUGUUUCGUGCAAAUGAAGAAAAGUAUAGUUAAAAUUAGCAUAUUUGUUUAUGUGAUCUUUUUUCUUUACCUAUUUAUUUUUGCAACGAACAUUAAUGCUAUUUCUGAAUGUGAGGAAGACAUAGAUUGUCCAAGAACUUGGUGUUUUGGGCAGUUUUUUGUGAAGUGUAUUACUAAUGAAUGUAUUUGUGUUCAUGAGGAUAGAUUACUUCCACGAAUUCCUUGGGAUCCAUGGAUCCCUAUGAUAUAAAUGAUAAAUGUUAUUCAAUGAGUGGUCAUUUAUUGAUUAAUCACAUCCUUGUUAGACAUUAAACCUUACUAGAGAAUAAAUUGGGAUCCCAUGGAUCCGUAGGUAAUGAAUGAUUCAUUUGUUUUGUUCAUGAGGAUAAUUUAUGCUGAUAAAUUCGUUGGGAUCCAUGGAUCACUAGACAAUAAAUUCCAGACAAUAAAUAUUUCUUCAUAAAUAAAUGAUUAUGUUAACUUAUACCUAAAUGGCAGAUGAAUCCAAGCACUACAAGAAACAAGUCUUAGUAUUAUUUGAUCAAUUUGUAGUAAAGUUGGACAAUUGGUCAGAAUCAUCCGGAAAAAAACAUAAUUUGGGGAAACUGACGGUUGAUAUAUCAUCGCCCGUUUUCGAUCAUUUGAGUACGUAGAUUGGUUAGUUUUCAGGUUGAACGAAGAUUGGUGUGGACGGGUGGAUUGUUUCGCUUGAGAAUUCAAACAA